CUAACUCAAUGGUAGAGUAUUCGGCUUUUAACCGAUUUGAUCUAGGUUCGAUUCCUA
rnacentral:tRNA from 1 species